rnacentral:lncRNA from 1 species
AUUGUCCUUAUUGCUCGGGGUUCACAGCAGACCCAUGUUUGCAUGGGAAGACUUUAAGCUAGAAAAUUAGAUUUGGGAGUAGAUGGCAAACGGUGUGGAAAAGUUAGAGACAGACAGAGAAAGCAGAGAUGAGGGAGAAAAGGAGAAGAGAGAGAUGGAAGGAGAGAGGAGAUAUGGCGGGAUGCAAGGGAGAAGGGUGUGAGCAUUUCUGAAGCCCCCAUGAAGCAUUGAACAUGACUGAAAGCAGCCAAUGGAAGCAGUAGGUGCGUGGGGGAGAUUUGAAGCUCUCUGCUUUGGAGAGCUGACUUGGAAGUUCCUCCAGAUGUCUCAGAGCAGAAGGGUCAGAGCUGGAGGCACAGGAUCCAUCGGCUUAGAUGAGGUACUUGAAGGCGUGAGUGUGAACGAGAAUGCCGAGGAGGACAAUGCUUGGAAAAAAGAGAAGAGGCUCGAGGAAAAGCAUCGGGUGACCUGGAUGCAGCUAGAGAUAAAGAAGCCGCAGUUGAGCUCCCAGAUGAUAACCCAACAGUGCAUGAUACGUGGACGCUAUGUGAGAUCAGAGCGGGGAAGGUCCUUGGGAAGUGGGAGCGUCAGGAAGAGGUGAGUGAAAUGAAUUGGCCUCAACCUUAAAGGAGAGGCAGAGUUUCAAAAGAAUGAGAUGAGGUGAGGGAGGAGAGUAGAGCUUUGUGGGGAAGGGACAAGCCUGAGCCAAGUGGGGUGGAUAUGAAGGAUUAUGAGGAGCGCCCUUUGGAACAUCCCAUUGGAGUCCUUGCAGGCUGUGGCCAUUUCCUUUUGAGGCAGGGUAGGUACCUGGAGUUAGCCAUAGCAAUCCCCCAAUGAAUUUGAUGUCAGCGAGUCAUUGCCCAGAGGCUGGAACUGUCUCCUCUUGGGUCCCACAGUUCUAACUCCCACCGCAUUGACAUUUGGGUUCCCAGAGAGCAGCUGAC